rnacentral:rRNA from 1 species
AAACUCCAAAUGAAUUGAACGGGGGCCCGCACAAGCGGUGGAGCAUGUGGUUUAAUUCGAUGCAACGCGAAGAACCUUUACCUGGUCUUGACAUACACAGAAUCUUGUAGAGAUACGAGAGUGCCUUCGGGAAUUGUGAUACAGGUGCUGCAUGGCUGUCGUCAGCUCGUGUCGUGAGAUGUUGGGUUAAGUCCCGCAACGAGCGCAACCCUUGUCCUUAGUUACCAGCACUUCGGGUGGGAACUCUAAGGAUACUGCCAGUGACAAACUGGAGGAAGGCGGGGACGACGUCAAGUCAUCAUGGCCCUUACGACCAGGGCUACACACGUGCUACAAUGGUAGGUACAGGGGGCAGCUACACAGCGAUGUGAUGCGAAUCUCAAAAAGCCUAUCGUAGUCCAGAUUGGAGUCUGCAACUCGACUCCAUGAAGUAGGAAUCGCUAGUAAUCGCGGAUCAGAAUGCCGCGGUGAAUACGUUCCCGGGCCUUGUACACACCGCCCGUCACACCAUGGGAGUUGAUUGCACCAGAAGUGGUUAGCCUAACGUAAGGGGGCGAUCACCACGGUGUGGUCGAUGAGUGGGGUGAAGUCGUAACAAG